rnacentral:tRNA from 1 species
ACAGUGGUGGUUCAGUGGUAGAAUUCUCACCUUCCAUGCAGGAGACCUGGGUUUGAUUCCCAGUCAGUGCA